rnacentral:rRNA from 1 species
UACAGAGGGUGCAAGCGUUAAUCGGAGUUACUGGGCGUAAAGGGCGCGUAGGCGGUUUGUUAAGUGAGUUGUGAAAGCCCUGGGCUUAACCUGGGAAUGGCAACUUAAACUGGCGAGCUAGAGUACUGUAGAGGUAGUGGAAUUUCCGGUGUAGCGGUGAAAUGCGUAGAGAUCGGAAGGAACACCAGUGGCGAAGGCGGCUACCGUGGACAGAUACUGACGCUGAGGCGCGAGAGCGUGGGGAGCAAACAGG